UACAGAGGGUGCGAGCGUUGUCCGGAAUCACUGGGCGUAAAGGGCGCGUAGGCGGCUCGGUAAGCGUGCGGUGAAAGCCCGGGGCUCAACCCCGGGUCGGCCGUGCGAACUGCAGAGCUGGAGCGCUGUAGAGGCAGGUGGAAUUCCGGGUGUAGCGGUGGAAUGCGUAGAGAUCCGGAGGAACACCAGUGGCGAAGGCGACUUCCUGGCCUGUUCUUGACGCUGAGGCGCGAAAGCUGGGGGAGCAAACGGG
rnacentral:rRNA from 1 species